rnacentral:lncRNA from 1 species
GUGUGGUUUGAGAGGAGUUGCGAUGACAAACUGUUGCAGUAGUACAUUAAAGUAAAUAAGUUCAAAGGGGCGUAACUCCUAGAAAAAAAAUUGAAUCGCAAUUUCCCAUCGAUAUGCACAACUACAUAGUAUGUCCUUAUUAUCAGAAAAGGUUUCAUGAAAUUCUGUUGUGUGGUUUGAGAGGAGUUGCGAUGACAAACUGUUGCAGUAGUACAUUAAAGUAAAUAAGUUCAAAGGGGCGUAACUCCUAGACAAAAAGUUGAAUCGCAAUUUCCCAUCGAUAUGCACAGCUACAUAGUAUGUCCUUAUUAUCUGAAAAGGUUUCGUGAAAUUCUGUUGUGUGGUUUGAGAGGAGUUGCGAUGACAAGAAACAGGACUGACAGACGGACGGACGG